rnacentral:rRNA from 1 species
UACGAAGGGGGCUAGCGUUGCUCGGAAUCACUGGGCGUAAAGGGCGCGUAGGUGGCGGCCCAAGUCCAUGGUGAAAGCUCGAUGCUCAACAUCGAGUCGGCCACGGAUACUGGGUUGCUCGAGCACUGUAGGGGCAGAUGGAAUUCCUGGUGUAGCGGUGAAAUGCGCAGAUAUCAAGGAGGAACACCGGUGGCGAAGGCGGGUCUCUGGGCCGAUGACUGACGCUGAGGAGCGAAAGCGUGGGGAGCGAACAGG